GGAGUUGUAGCUCAAUUGGUCAGAGCAUCCGAUUGUCGAUCGGAAGGUUGCGAGUUCAAGUCUCGUCAACUCCGCCA
rnacentral:tRNA from 1 species